CAGAGGUCUCAAGCGUUGUUCGGAUUCAUUGGGCGUAAAGGGUGCGUAGGCGGCGCGGUAAGUCGGGUGUGAAAUCUCGGGGCUUAACUCCGAAACUGCAUUCGAUACUGCCGUGCUUGAGGACUGGAGAGGAGACUGGAAUUUACGGUGUAGCGGUGAAAUGCGUAGAUAUCGUAAGGAAGACCAGUGGCGAAGGCGGGUCUCUGGACAGUUCCUGACGCUGAGGCACGAAGGUCAGGGGAGCAAACGGGAUUAGAUACCCCGGUAGUCCUGACAGUAAACGGUGCACGUUUGGUGUGGGAGGAUUCGACCCCUUCUGCGCCGGAGCUAACGCGUUAAACGUGCCGCCUGGGGAGUACGGUCGCAAGAUUA
rnacentral:rRNA from 1 species